AAAUUGUUAAACAUCAAUAUCAUCUAGGUUAAGUAUACGAACAUCACAAAUUCAAACAUCACAAAAAAUAUUUACAUAAACAAUAUUCAAAAGAAUAGUUAUAUACUUAAUAUUUCAAAAUCAAAGAUAUUUUUGCUAAAAUUGUACUUACCUGGCCAAGGAGAUCGACCAUCUUUUUACGGAUCAAUCGAUUGUUGAGCAUGUGGUCGAUCCAAAAAUACUCUGCAGUUUAAUUAAAUAUCUAAAACAUUUAUUCCAACACUCAACAUAUAGU
rnacentral:lncRNA from 1 species